UCACAUUCUCAUUCCAUUAAGAUGGAAUGUACAAAGUGAUCAUAUUACACCGACACAACCUUUAUAAUACAAGGCGUACAUGGUGAGCAAAUUGCCUCUGUGACCAUAAGAGUACAGAUAUCAGCUUAAAAAGAUACCAGAAAUCACAAUGCUAUGCCUGAAUUAGCAAGAACUUCAUCAGGGAACAUUUCACUGCCAUUACACAUCAUAUACAAGGUGGGAUUUCUGAUCAAAAUCAAUAAGAAAGGUGCGAAUUUCCAUCGGGGCAAGUUCAACAACCAGUUUUGCAGGAUCAACAGGUCCACCCCUCGGCAAUGGUUCUUGUAUAACUGAGCCUUCAACUUUCCAGACAAGUCUCUUCUUUUCCAAUUCUGUUCUUUCUUGAUUGGCAGAUAGGCUCAUUUCUGUCACUUUGUGAAUCUUCUUGCCAGGAAACAACUUCUUCAGUUCUACACUUGUCAUCACAGAAUAAUUAUUGUCCUCUCCAAUCUGAUAUAAGUGUGCUAAACGAAGUAGAACUUUUCCAUUAUCAAGCUCCUGGAGAGUUAUAACUGCAACAGUAUCAGGUAAACUAUAGGAGGAAUCAAUGCCUGAGAAAGUGGUUACAUGAGAAUUCAACCAGUUAUCUCCAUCCUCUUCAGCAAAGGCAAGAGAGGUGAAUAUAUCUCCUGGCCAAAAGUACGACGCCAGUUAGCACCUUCUCCUAAAGGAUCAAUUCUGAAAUAAUAUUUUCCUUGGAUUAUCAAUCCUUUACAUUGAUCAAGAACACAAACUGUUUCAUUUAAAGCCUCUGCAACACCCCUGGAAUCGUCAAGUAGCAGUCUCCGAUG
rnacentral:misc_RNA from 1 species